ACACCGCCCGUCACACCACGAAGUUGGGGGCGCCCGAAGCCACUUAGCUAACCCUUUUGGGAAGCGAGUGUCGAAGGUGAAAUCAAUAACUGGGGUGAAGUCGUAACAAGGUAGC
rnacentral:rRNA from 1 species